rnacentral:rRNA from 1 species
AGUGAACGCUGGCGGUAGGCCUAACACAUGCAAGUCGAACGGCAGCAUAGUAAGAGCUUGCUCUUACGGGUGGCGAGUGGCGGACGGGUGAGGAAUACAUCGGAAUCUACUUUUUCGUGGGGGAUAACGUAGGGAAACUUACGCUAAUACCGCAUACGACCUACGGGUGAAAGCAGGGGAUCUUCGGACCUUGCGCGAUUGAAUGAGCCGAUGUCGGAUUAGCUAGUUGGCGGGGUAAAGGCCCACCAAGGCGACGAUCCGUAGCUGGUCUGAGAGGAUGAUCGGCCACACUGGAACUGGGACACGGUCCAGACUCCUACGGGAGGCAGCAGUGGGGAAUAUUGGGCAAUGGGCGCAAGCCUUAUCCAGCCAUACCGCGUGGGUGGAGAAGGCCUUCGGGUUGUAAAGCCCUUUUGUUGGGAAAGAAAAGCAGCCGGUUGAUACCCCGCUGUUCUGACGGUACCCAAAGAAUAAGCACCGGCUAACUUCGUG